UUGAAUUCCCAAUACCUCCGAAAUUGACUCCCUCGGAAACCCAACCCGUCGAAUUCCCCGCCACCAUCUUCCGCCGUUAGAACCGAUGGCCCUCUCCACCCCUCCACCGCCCCCUGGCCCUUCUUCCACCAUCAGAACACGGCCACUCUACCCUGACCUCCGGCCCCCUAACUCUCAGCCCCUUCCCUUUAUUCACCCCCGUCCAGACGCCCUUUCAAUCCCAAUCCCAAUUAUCCUCAAUUAGCUCCCCUGCCACUCCACCCACAGGAUCCUUCGCAGCUUCUCUACCCCGUUGUCAACUCCAGCCGCUGCUUCGUUCUGGUACCGGGACCUCCCUCGAGACCGCCGUUCGUGUUCCCCCACCCGGACCCAGUUCAGUUGCAGGAAAGGCCAUGUUAUUCCGGACCGAUUCAUUUGCUUGCAUCCGGACGAUGUUCUGCCGCUCAUGUUGGUGGUGGAUUCUUGCCUGGUGUGGUUAAAGGAAUUCCUUUCUCAUCUUUUCUCCGCCCAAAGAGAUAGAAGUAGGAAUGAUACUUUAGCAGUUGUUAGAGAUAGGAAGGUCAAAGCAUCUGAUAGUGCUUCCCUUUAUACCCUUUGUAGGUCAUGGUUGAGGAACGGUAUUCCUGAAGAAAUUCAGCCGCUCUACUUGGAUGCUGUAAAGUCUCUUCCCAGACCUUUCCCUGUAACUCUACUAGAUUCUGAUUCAACUGGGAAAAGGGAAGAUAAAGAAGAGGAAAAUGAGGUUGGUGCUUGAAAUUAAUGCUAGUGUAUCUUUGUAAUAAGGAAUUGCAGCCCGGAGAGAUGCGGUACCAAGGCAAUGAAAUACAAUGUCUGCAUGGCAAUCAUUAUUUGUUUAUAAUAUGAAUGGAUGAGGGAUCUGUUGAGCAUUUAUCUACAAAGGAGCUCUUGUAAAGAUAUGUCAAGCAUUCUAAGAGAGUUCGGUCACGAUUAAGAGAAGAAAGGCUCCAACGAAUUACAAGAUACAAAACCAGGCGCGCUCCUCUCUUAAUCCCAGUGGUCGAUCAAACACUUCAAAAGUGACUCUGCUGCGGCAAACUGAAAAAACCUCGUCUAUCUUACAUCAGUGGCAAUUUAAGAUGCAGGUAAAAAGUAAGAUAGCACAAUGUUUCACAUCAUGUAUUUUGGUUCUUUAACACUGAUUAGAGCCUCGAGAUUUCGAGAUUUUUCGUUUGCUUUUAAUUUGUGUCGUUAUCUCGUGGUCCUGAUCUGUAAUUGUAUAGUUUCUGAAAUUUAUAUUGUGUCAAGUUGGUGUCAAUUUGCCCAUAAAAUGGUCAGUAAAUUUGAUGUGGAAAUGAAAAUCGGAAGGUUCAAUCA